UACAGAGGUCCCAAGCGUUGUUCGGAUUCAUUGGGCGUAAAGGGUGUGUAGGUGGCGCCGUAAGUCGGGUGAUGAAAUCGUCGGGCUUAACUCCGAAACUGCAUUCGAUACUGUGGUGCUUGAGGACUGGAGAGGAGACUGGAAUUCCUGGUGUAGCGGUGAAAUGCGCAGAUAUCAGGAGGAACACCGGUGGCGAAGGCGGGUCUCUGGGCCGAUACUGACGCUGAGGAGCGAAAGCGUGGGGAGCGAACAGG
rnacentral:rRNA from 1 species